rnacentral:rRNA from 1 species
AGCGUAGACGGAGCAGCAAGUCUGAUGUGAAAGGCGGGGGCUCAACCCCCGGACUGCAUUGGAAACUGUUGAUCUUGAGUACCGAAGAGGUAAGCGGAAUUCCUAGUGUAGCGGUGAAAUGCGUAGAUAUUAGGAGGAACACCAGUGGCGAAGGCGGCUUACUGGACUGAAACUGACACUGAGGCACGAAAGCGUGGGAGCAAACA